AUGUACCUCAAAUCGGCAUAGUCAAAUCACUUGGUUAAGUAGCCUAGUGUCUGGAGUAACGUUAUUCGUUUGCUGACGAUGGCAUCGCAUCAAUUAAACGGGAAUGCGGCCGCCACAAUUGCCAUUGUAGUCCUGGUGAUGUUUGUGUCGGUGAUGGCUCAGUCAGGUGAAACGGACUGUUCUAGUCAGUCAUAUAGAGAGGAAAGCUUGAACAUAGAGAAGCCUGAGCCGAUUCCUCAUUUUUUACAAGAAUGUAUUGCCACCAACCAAAUCCAGUCUGAGGGUACUCUCUUUUUCGGGGGGAUAAGCCCAGCACCGCAUCGAGCAUCAGGCAGCACCAGGAAUCUUUUGUGUCACCUCCUCAUUGGAAUUUGCAGCAUUCUGGGCCUCGUUUUGGGGCGUCCCUAGAGUCGAGAAAAAGCUGAGACCGUUCUUCUGAAAAUCAACAAGUGGCUAGGGUUUUCAGGUGUUUAUAUAUUCUUAUGCGUCUCCUGUAGGCUUGUCGGAAUAUUGUCUUGUGGCAUCAAUUUAUUCUUCAAGCUACUGGUCUGAAACCCUUGCAGGAUUAAACUGUUAAUUGAGCAGUUAUUAUUAUUAAUAACGCAAUUUACCGCAAGCCUAAAUUUUAGUUCUGCUUCGAUUGAGUUUCUGUUUUCUCUCUUUUUUUCCCGUUCAUAUUGCAUCAACGAUUAUUGAAAUAUUAUAUUAUAUACACCAGAAAGUGCCGAAGUUGUGGGGGCAAAAAAGGUCCCUCCCUCCUGGCGCUUGAUGUUUUUCGAAUAAAAAUUAUAUUUUCUUUUCCCCUCCAAUCUGAGACGAUUCAUUUUUUCUGUUAACUCAUUUUAUUUUUAAAAUAAUUAAUAACUCUACCACCGCUUAUCAAUGAA